GACGAACGCUGGCGGCGUGCUUAACACAUGCAAGUCGAACGGACAGGCCCUGCUUGCAGGGUACUCGAGUGGCGAACGGGUGGGUAACACGCGGGUGAUCUGCCCUGCUCUUCGGGUUAAGCCUGGGCAACUGGGUCUAAUACCGGCUAGGUGCCAUUUUUAGUGUGAUGGUUGGAAAGUUUUUUCGGUGUAGGCUGAGCUCGCGGGCUAUCUGCUUGUUGGUGGGGUAAUGGCCUACCAAGGCGGCGUCGGGUAGCAGGCCUGCGUGGGUGGACGGCGACAUUGGGACUUAGAGAAGGCCCAGACACCGACGGGAGGCAGCAGGGGGGAAUAUUGCACAAGGGGCGCAAGGCGGAUGCAGCGACGCCGCGUGGGGGAUGACGGCCUUCGGGGUGUAAACUCCUUUCGCUAGGGACUAAGCUUUUUGUGACGGUACCUAGAUAAGAAGCACCGGCUAACUACGUG
rnacentral:rRNA from 1 species